GCCCGCGGGGUGACCCGGGGUAGGUGGGGAUCCCCCACCGCCACCCGCUAGCAGGCAGGAUGAGGUCUCCGUGCAGCCCCUAGGAAACGUCAAGUCUCCCUUCAGGAAAGGGGGUGGCAAAUACCAGGAGUCAAGUAUUAGGAAGAUGCCCUUUGGAUCAGGACUGUCCACAGGGAGGUUCCACCCACCAGUGGCCCUUAGAGAGAAAGGACUCCAGUGCUUGUUGGCCUCACGCUGGAUUGCAGCUGAACUUUUUCUGAAAUGAGGACACUUGGUUACACGAAGUAACAGGUGUCAACCGCCCAAGGAAAAGGCCCUUGAAAAAGAAGUCCAGCUCACCACACAGCCUGGCAGCGCAGGCACAAGAGCUGAGCUGUCCCCCCUGAAACACCUGGCUCAGACGUGGGAAUGGCUCGGCCAGCUCCGUGGGUGGGGAGCGCAGAGGCUCCAGCCGGUGUCACGCCCCACCCCACAAGCUCCCGGGAAAGGAGAACACUGCCACUUUGAGGGGAGUCCAUUCUGAUCUGCUCACUCCUCACCCGGCCCCCAGUGCUCACGAGAAGGGCUUGGCGGAGACCGACCAUGGCGGAGUGGGGACCUCGGCUUGUCCCCAGGCCCGCGGCUGCACAGAGAAGAUGAUGAAAGCCAGAGGCGCGUGUGAUGGUGCCCGGCUCUGGAAACCCCACCCCGGGGUGAACAGAAAUGAGGACUAUUGGAAAGUCUCACAUGUUUCUGACGACUAAGGCCUCUGGCCCAGUGACACCGGGUGUGACUGUGUUAGUCACUCAGAUGGUUCUGUGGUCGGUUUGCCCAAGGCGGGAGAUCUUCAAGGAAACUUGGAGGGUGUCAGAGGCAGAAGAGCAGUCGCGAGUGAAAUUCAGAGGCCUGCGACUCCUCGGCCACACCCUCCAAGCUGUUUUCACGUUGUUUCUAAGCCUUGGCUGCGUCGGUUCCUGCCUCAGGGGCUCAUAAUUGGCCGGGAUCUCUGAUGUCCUUAUACGUCAUCUAAUACACACUUGCAUUGUGUGUUAGUUCAAUACUGUUAUUUAACAGACAGAACCACAGAGUGGAAACUGUGAUCUAGAUACCCAGCCGUGGGGCCCUGGGCAAGCGACUUUGGGUCUCUGUGCCUCAGUUGUCUCAUCUGGAAAGUGAGGACGAUAAUCACAGUACUUCUCUCGCAGGCUGCUGUCAUACUUAAGUGAGUUCAUACGGACGGAGUGCUUAGAGCUGUGCUGGGCACUCAGCACGUGCUCACUAGGUGUCAGCUGCUCUGAUUUACCUCUUUAUCACUUAUACAACGCAAAGCCCACACACUUUCCCAUGAGCCCCACCACCGAAAGAACAAACUCCAAACUCCUCCCUCUCCAGGUCCAUCCUCCACAUGCCCCUCAGGUGAGUAGUCGUUCCCUAACCCUGCCCCAGCCCUGCAGGCAGGGAGCACCCCACAGGAGUCCAUCGAGUCCUUGGCGCAGGUCCAGUCUGUCCUACAAGCUGAGGGGGCAGCUCCCAGUACGACUUGGUCCCCACCCCUGAGGGACCAGCAGCUGACAUCCCCUCUCCCAAGACUGCGCCCCCUCCCAACCACUGCUCUGCAUCUCUGCCCAAUCUCCUCCUGCAUCUGGCCGUCUCUGCCUCCUUCCCUGUGGUGUGCCCCCGCCCCUGCCCCAUGUGGCAACUGCACUGACAUCUCGGCCUUGUCUGGGCAUCUCUACCCUUGGGACGAACAGGACCUAGGGGGUGGGCCACAAUCAUCUUACUACUUUCCAUCCCCAGCACCUAGAACACAACCUCGUACAUAGAUAAUGGAUUAA